rnacentral:rRNA from 1 species
GAUCCUAGCUCAGGAUGAACGCUAGCUACAGGCUUAACACAUGCAAGUCGAGGGGGCGAGCAUGGUCUUAGCUUGCUAAGGCCGAUGGCGACCGGCGCACGGGUGAGUAACACGUAUCCAACCUGCCGUCUACUCUUGGACAGCCUUACUGAAAGGAAGAUUAAUACAAGAUGGCAUCAUGAGUUCACAUGUUCACAUGAUUAAAGGUAUUCCGGUAGACGAUGGGGA